GGAACGCGGGAUCCGGGGCCUCGUGGGCACUCACGCGGGCAGAAGCAGGCAGCCAAGGCCGCUGGCUGUGCUUACCUGCGCGUCGCUCGGCUCCACAGCGGCACCUGAACCUCGGGGGUCCAACAGGGACCGCGGACCUGCUGCUCAACCAGGGACCUGGAGCUGGGGAGGCAGAGACUAAACAGAUCCAGCUAGAGGAAAGCUUGAACAAUGAAGACUCCUGCUGAGCAGGCAUUCUACCCUGUGCCAGUGGAGACGAGGGCCUGCCUGAGGAGGACGCUGGCUUCAUGGACAAGAAGUGGUGGUGUGUGCUUUUGGAAGACGUACACAGUCAAGAGGAGCUGACUCUUCCUGAUGUAUUCUCACCAUCUAGGACAGUGCCUGGGACCCAGCAAGUAUUCGAAAAGUGCAGACUCUGAGUUUACAGAGGCAGCUCUCUCCUUCCACGCUGAGCUUUUCUAAGGCUUUAUAACGUAAGUCAGCUGAGGAGGAAGCCCUCCCGUGGACAGCGCAUGCUCCCUCAUGGGUGUAAUCCAGGCGCUUCAACCAAACACAGCUAAAACGACUGUGUUGCAAGUAAGGCAGGAAGACACCAACUAGUGCAUGGUUAUCCCUGGAAGCCUUGGAUUCUGGUACCACUCAAAGUCAAGAGGGUCUCCCUAGACUUAACUGUCCCAAAGAAUUGUUCCAGUCUCAGCAGCACCACAUUUCUGAAUUAGCUUUCCUAAUGGAGCCUCUGCUGAAACCCGCAUCCAGACUUUGAUGUUCCUUUGGACCCCCUUGGUACCAAAACAGUCACCUGUAAGUGAUCAAAACCACAGUCAUCACUGAGAAAAGAAGACACUUUGUGACAAACCCAUCAUUUGGAGAUAAACACCACUGCCCUAUGACAGAAGGUGAUUUUCUCAAGGUCACACACAGAUGGCCAGGGAUGGCAUUCAUGUGUCAGUUGGAUUUUUGCUUGUGUGUUAUAUGCAGCAGAAAUACUCUCUUCUGUAUUGGGAUGGCCCUUCAGAAGUUACAGGCAGACUGGCAAUCUGGACUGAGAAAGAGGUGGGAGGAAGCAGCUCUGAAAAGCUGGAAUUAUGAACCUUUAGAAAAUGAGCCCUAAGUGGGAAAGGCCUAAUUGGGAUGUGCAGCCAGGAUAGAGGAUAAAACUCCAGAUGCUUCUUCUGGCCUGGUCGCAUUCACACAUGGGAGCAAAUCCUGAGAGAGGCCCUCUGAUUGGCUGAUGUUGGGAUCCACUCCAUCAUCUGGGGAAGGUGUUUGGCUUUGGAUGUUGAGUGAAAGAUGUCUACUUUACUCUCCUUCUGAGACCCAUGUGGCAGAGGUGGGGUGGGGGCGGGGAGGUGUAUCCCCAAUGGAAGCCCCGAUACUGUUAGAGGAAGGCAAGAACUAGAGAAGCCAGAUGCAAUGACAACCUCCUUCAGUUUAGAGUGGCAGCCCUCGUGUAGCUGAAAGUGGCCAGGAGAGGCAAACUGGACUUGGCUUGGGUCAAUUAGGAAGGCUUUGCUUUCCAAAUACAGGAUGCCUAACUAUUUCUUUGGCCAUGGAAUGUGGAUAUGAUCCUGGAGGCCAGACAUCCAUCUUAAAUCUACGUGGUGAUGAACAGAACAUCUAAAGCUCUCUGCUAAGGAUGGAGGAGUGGGCCAACGAAGUCAUCAUGAGCAGCUGCACCAACUCUGAACUUCCUGCCUUGUGACGUCUUACAAGAAAACUGAACCUUAAGUUGACCAAUUCACUGAACUUGGUAACUGCCAGUCUGGAACAAUCCCAUAGUACAAAUCCAAGUGAGAAUUCUGGUCUUUUGACUCCCUAUGCAGUUGUGGUAGUUUGAAUGUAAUUGGCCCCCAAUAAGCUCAUAGGGAAUAACACUAUUAGGAGGUGUGGCCUUGUUGAAGUAGGCCUUGUUGGAAGAAGUAUGUCACUGUGAGGGUGGGAUUUGAGAUCUCUUAUACUCAAGAUAUUGCCCAGCGUCUCAGUUCACUUUCUGUUGUCUUCAGAUCAAGAUGUAGGACUCUCAGCUCCUUCUGCAGUACCAUGUCUGCCUGCAUGCCACCAUGUCCUGCCAUGAUGAUAAUGGACUAAAGCUCUGAACUGUAAGCCACCCCAGUUAAAUGUAUUUCCCUUAUAAGAGUUGCUGUGGUCAUGGUGUCUCUUCAUCUUUUGUACUUACAAAGUCACGGUUCUUGACUUUAAGGUCAAGUUGGAUUACACAAAGUUCUCUAGCGGAUCAGACCCAAUCUGAUUUCUGGAGCUAUAGAAGAGGGAUCUAUUAUGGGAACUGGCUCCCGUGACUAUGGAAGCUGUGAAGUCUUACAAUCUGUCGAUCUUCCGCUAGUUGGAGAGACAGGAAAACUAGUGGAAUUUAGUCUGAGUUUGAAAGCCUGAGA